UACGUAGGGGGCGAGCGUUGUCCGGAAUCAUUGGGCGUAAAGAGCGUGUAGGCGGCUUGGCAAGUCUGACGUGAAAGCCCGCGGCUCAACCGCGGAUUGUCGUUGGAAACUGCCUCGCUAGAGUCCGGAAGAGGAGAGCGGAAUUCCUGGUGUAGCGGUGGAAUGCGCAGAUAUCAGGAAGAACACCCGUGGCGAAGGCGGCUCUCUGGGACGGUACUGACGGCUGAGACGCGAAAGCGUGGGGAGCG
rnacentral:rRNA from 1 species